CUGAUUGGUUUCAAUUUUUUUUUUUUUUUACAGUGCCAGGCACUAAACCCAGGGCCUUUGAAGUGCUAGGCAAGUACUCUACUAUUGAGUUACACUUAGCCUGCUGCCUGUUUUUUUUUUUUGUCCCUUAAAAUUUUCAGGAAAGUGAUUUUUUGAGAGGAAUGGCCAUACUGCAGUUGGGUUAGUUUAGUGUUGGCUAUGUUGUUAAUAGUACUAUCAGCCCUUUAUAAAUGAGUCUAAUCUGGCUCAUUUGUGUCUGUAUCAAGUUUGGCCUGGAUAUGGGGCACACAUGUUUUGUAAUCCCAGCUGUUGGAGGAGGUUCUACAGCAGCAGAAUCACAAGGUCAGGACCAGACUGGGAAAUAGCCUUUUUUGAGACGGUUAAGUGUAGUUCAGUGGCAGAUAGCACUUGCCUAGCAUGUAUGAGCUCCUGGAUUCAAACCCUAGUGCUGGGGCUUGAGGAUUUUCUCUUGAUAUUGGUGUGAAUUGUCUCCUGAACACACUUAACUAAAAUGUGAAAGGGAUUUAGGAGUUAACCAACAUCUGUUUUGCUUUCUUCUGUCUUGAAAGACUACCAUGAGCCUGUCUUCCCUUGCUAAGGGUAAGAGGGGGAAAGGUAGUUAAGGAGCUGGGAUGUACAGUUUUCACAGUGUGGGUUUAUAUUGUAUGUGGGAGACAGUUUUGGUUUAGUAUAAUGGAUUGUAGUUGGAAACCUGAAGCUUGAAUUAGGAUUUAAAAGUGGGAAUCUGAUAUGAAGAAAAUGGCUUAUUGUGCCAUGCAUGAUGCCAUCAGAAGCAAGGUAUAGGAUGGACACCAGAAAGAUGAAGAUUUUGGAAGUAGCAAUUAUUCCCAGCUCCUAUCUUCAGGAAUUCUGGUUAAAUUGAAUCCUGGCCAACAGCUCAAGCUCAGGAGAUGAUAAAUCAUAACGGGGUGAUUUAGUAACAGGAGAAAACCUUUGCACUAUGGAGUUCGCCCCUUAAUGAGCACCUUUUUGAAAAGGUGCAGUGGAUGGUAGGAAUUUUACUACAAAAAAAAAAUUGGUCAUUGAGGUUGAUUUUUAAAUAUGUAUGGAGUUGUAUUUCAUUUUCGGGAGAGUAAGGUUUGAAUUGAAUAAGUUUGCAGAAAGUCAUUGCUGUUGUGUGCACACCCUUUAUUUGUGCCUGGUUUUGAACCCAGGGGCAUUUUACUUCUGAACCACAUCCCAGUCCUUUUUUAAAGCUGCUUAGGGCUUUAAAAAGAUUUUUUUUUUUUAAAUGUAGUUUGAAAGAAUAAUUCUAUCCAUCAAAAGAUUUAUGGAGUGCCUUUGGAAUUGCUUUGGUUCUUCAGAAACUGAAUCCAGGGAACUUCAAAUGAUUUAAGAAGAGGAAGAGAACUGGCUCAUAGAAUGAACUCUAGGCCAGAGAAAGUGGAAAAGACCUCAUACUUGUUAGAUCCAUCUGGGAGUGAAUAUUGGGAUCUGGAUAUUGUUAACUCCACUAAUGUGAACUGAACAAUAAGGCUAGACAGACAGACAGACAGACACACACACACACACACAUCCAUUCAUCUAUCUUUUUAAUAUAGUUUCUGCACAAGAUAGUUCCAUGCUGUGAAAAAAAUUUUUUUCAAGUCCAGUUAAUUGAACUUAGCUAAAGAAUCAUUAGAAACUGUGAAGACAUGAAGAAGAAAUUGAAUGACCUCAUUCCACAAUCCAGAUGAGGGAAACUUCAAUAAUGGCUUUGGCUGUAUGAAGAGGAACUGGGAUAAGUGAAGAUUAUUCACUUUGGGCUAAAUAAUAACUGUAUGGCAGCUACUCCUACCUACCAUAUUUCCUAAACAUACCUCCUGCUUGGCUUGGAAACCAGGACCAUGGGGACCAGACUGUAGGAGGAGGAUGGUGGAGGAAUCCUGGGGAUGGGGGAGAUGAGCAUCUGGACUUGUAUUGACAAUAUAAGAAGG
rnacentral:lncRNA from 1 species